ensembl:lncRNA
UUUUUAAAUGAACAUGGCCUUGAGAGAUCUUCCUUGAAAAGCUGGUGCCUUUUCCAAAGGUGUCUUUGCUGUCUUCUUUUGGGGAAACAGACUCAACUCUGCCUUCUGUCUGUGUGCCUGCGGUCCGCAACCACAGGAAGACCUGUGGCCACAGUGCAGAGGAUGCUGUGACACUCACAGUGUUUUCUUUUCUCUCAUCACAGGUGGACGGGAUGGACGAUGAAAGCCACUCAGUGGUGGAGAGCCUGAGCAGCCGCCAGGAUGAGGAGGCUGCAGCAACCCUCGAUGAUGUUGUGGAGGCCGGCGGGAGUGAGAAGACGGAGGAAGAGGCCCUGGCUGGGGCAAAUGAGGAGGAGGUGGGGCCGGGAACUGAGAAGGUGCAGGAGGAGGCUGCCUGCAUUGACGAGGCAGAGGAGGAGGCAGGCCCAUCCCUUGAAAAUGACGAGGAGUCCCCAGCCAGCGACCUGGUUGAGCAGGAAGACCAGCUUGCCCCCAAGGUAAGCUCACCUUUCUUGAUCGGAGAUUUAAAAAGGUGCCUCCUUUCUUCUUGGAUGUGCCUACUUCAGAAAUGGAAAUCGGAGGAAGUCCAUUAUAGAGGAUAUAUGCAGAUUCCUCUUUGAAGGGAUGUUGAGUCAAAGUUUGGUACCAACCAAUAACUCCUUGCAAGGGGCAUUGGCAAAAGUGACCCUAUCAGUUCUGCAGUGUAUGGUAGGGAGCAUUUUUCUUUGAAGAAGACCAAAAUUUUUUUAAAUGAACAUGGCCUUGAGAGAUCUUCCUUGAAAAGCUGGUGCCUUUUCCAAAGGUGUCUUUGCUGUCUUCUUUUGGGGAAACAGACUCAACUCUGCCUUCUGUCUGUGUGCCUGCGGUCCGCAACCACAGGAAGACCUGUGGCCACAGUGCAGAGGAUGCUGUGACACUCACAGUGUUUUCUUUUCUCUCAUCACAGGUGGACGGGAUGGACGAUGAAAGCCGUAAGUAUUCUGGAACCCGGCUCUGCUGAGGAGAAGUCCAGGUGUUGAGGAAGGGCGGGGGGUGCUUUCCUGCCCCUUUGGUUGCAGAGACACCCUGAUUCUGGGUUCCUCCUGGGAAAGGGGGUGAAGGAUGGGGUGAAAGAGACUGACUUCCCACAAAAGGGCCAUCCCAAGUCCUCGGGUCCCUGGAGGAAAGGAGGCUCUUUGUAUGGUGGGGGUAGGUGUCCGGGAACAUUGGGGGGUGUGCGUGUGAGGGCCUGUUGGUGUGAUUGUGAACCAGUGUGAGUGGGUGUGUUUUGUGGGGAGUCACUUGUGCCUUAGCACCACAUAGCUGUCCAGUUUCUCGUUGAACAGUCUCAUGAUGACCGCAGGCUAACUGUCCAUUCCCUCAUUCUCCCUGCACCCGCUGGGAGCAAGGUUUGGGGAAAAGGCUUUCCUUCCUCUGUUGGUCUUUCGUUUCCUCUUUUCUUCCCCCUCUGCUUGGUGCAGACUUUCAUGCUGUUGUUUCAAAUAUGUGCCGUGAACUCGAGCCUCUUGAGGUUGUAAGUGUCCCGAGGAGUGUUGUGAACGCUGUGCUCCCCCCGCACCUCCUGCCCACUCGGGGCAGCCACCCUUCCAGCCUCUGCUCAGGAGUGGUCUUUCAGACACC